CACGUAGGCGGGCAAUCGAGUCAGAUGUAAAAGGCGACGGCUUAACCGUAGUAUGUCAUCUGAUACUGGUUGUCUUGAGUUCGAGAGAGGGUGGUGGAAUUCCCGGUGUAGCGGUGAAAUGCGUAGAUAUCGGGAAGAACACCAGAAGCGAAGGCGGCCACCUGGAUCGACACUGACGCUGAGACGCGAAAGCGUGGGUAGCAAACA
rnacentral:rRNA from 1 species